UACAUGGGGUGCAAACGUUGCUCGGAAUUAUUGGGCGUAAAGCGCACGUAGGUGGUCUGUUAUGUCAGAUGUGAAAGCCCUCGGCUUAACUGAGGAAGUGCACCUGAAACUGGCAGGCUUGAGUACGAAAGAGGGUCGCGGAAUUCCCGGUGUAGAGGUGAAAUUCGUAGAUAUCGGGAGGAACACCGGUGGCGAAGGCGGCUCUCUGGUCCAUGUCUGACGCUGAGGUACGAAAGCUAGGGGAGCAAACGGGAGUUAGAAACC
rnacentral:rRNA from 1 species